rnacentral:lncRNA from 1 species
CUUGAAAAGUUUGCCAAAGGUAGCAAACUCUGGAAUAGAUGAUAGAAGUCUUUCAUAUGCAUCAAACCCAGAAACAGGUGCAGGUGGUGGAGCACCAAGACCAGUGGGCUUUUUGCCCUUGGCUUUCUUCUCUGCGAGUGGCUGCGAUUUGACUUCCUUAGGCACAGAAUCAACAUCAAAAGCUUCUUCAGAGGGCUCCUGCAACAUCAAAGAUAUAAUAUGGUAACUGACUUCCUAAAGAGUAUGUAUAGAGUAGAAAGCUAGGAUAUGUGAAGCUCACAUAGUUUUUCAGACUUGUCUCCAUGUUGACUAAAGGGGCCUCCAGGGAACCAAACAGAAACUCUCUGCUAUCGUUGUCGGUUUCAACAAGGCCAUCAUCGUUGCCAAGUAUACUCAAAAAGAGUGUUGCUCUAUCACGAACCUGGAGAUAAAGACAUUGAAAUUCAAAUUAAAAACAACAGUUUGUGCAGACCGAAACCCAUGCAUGCAAUCUGUAUAUAACGAACGAGACAUGAUGAUAUCCACAGGACCACAGAUUUACUACUGCAACCAAUGACUAGAAGGCAACUUUUCAAUAGGACUAGGCGCAAACCUCGUCAUCACUGUCAUAGAUGCAGCGCUUCAGCAAGACAGUAAUCCGGGGCUGCAAGACAAUUAUUGAUGUAAUAUCUUUGUCAUCAACCGAGGAUGAUAAAUAAUAACCUUAAUGACGCUUAAUAAGAUAACUAUACCUUCAAAGCUUCAACCAUAAACCCAAACUUCGCAAGUGUGCAAACAGCAGCUGCUCGAACAGUUGCAUUCUCCAAAUGCACACGGUUGUAUAUAUACCGGAUAUACUUGCUAGGAUCUGAGGUGUUCGGCCCUUCUAUUCCCAGGAAAUGAAGGAUCUACGUGAAAAAGAUAUAUUUAAAUAACAAUGAAAACAUAAGUUUGCCAAAGGUAGCAAACUCUGGAAUAGAUGAUAGAAGUCUUUCAUAUGCAUCAAACCCAGAAACAGGUGCAGGUGGUGGAGCACCAAGACCAGUGGGCUUUUUGCCCUUGGCUUUCUUCUCUGCGAGUGGCUGCGAUUUGACUUCCUUAGGCACAGAAUCAACAUCAAAAGCUUCUUCAGAGGGCUCCUGCAACAUCAAAGAUAUAAUAUGGUAACUGACUUCCUAAAGAGUAUGUAUAGAGUAGAAAGCUAGGAUAUGUGAAGC